UUACCCAUGAUACAUUGUGGUUUUGAUCCUAUCGAACACGGCCAUGGACUAUUAGCUACAUCACAAAAUAACAGACUUUCGGGAGGGAAAUAGUUUGAUGUUUGGAAGAUCGCCUUUACCUUGAAAAGACAGUUAAAUGGCAUCCCUUGCGAGGACAAGAACAAGAUGUAUGUCAGGAGGAAAAGUGCAGUAUUAUCACAAGGAAAUGUAUACUUGGAAUACGGGUGAGGAAUAGAGGGGAAAACAGAGGCAGGUGAGGUCUAAGAGAGGAGAAAAAGGGUGUUCGCGUCGGUUAGCGGGCGGGCGGAAAGAAAAUGGCGGGCGGAAAAAAAGGGAGAUUGGAAGAAAGUGUACGCAGAGUGAGCUGUACGCCGGAUAGAAGACAGGAGACGAAAUGGAAGUGAAUGAGGGCGAAGUAUCGGUGGUAGGUGCGGUAAAGUCAUCGGAGAUCGAUGUAUGCACCGAUAAUCAGGAUGAAGAGUCUGUGACAGUAGGUGUGACGUUUAUGUAGAAAGUGGACUCUUGCCUUUUGGCUGAUUGAUUUGUGGUUUCACGGUGGGUGGGAAAAAAGUGUUGGGUCAUGUGGAAUCGGAGAGGGUAACUAGAAGUGUAAUUGUUUGUGUUUCUGUUGGGCAGAGGAAGAAUGCGCUUGAAGUAAAACGAAUGAGGGUAGGUAAAAGUGAAGCGUUUCGUUCUCAAGAAAAAGGCACAAAUGAAAGGAGAUAUAACUGGGGUAGCAGUAGAUAUAGACGUUGACCAGUUGAAGGCAAAGAUUCCCGGUGUAUGUGAUGCUCGGCGUUUGAUGCGACGCAGACGGGGUGGGGUAACAGACUGUCUGUUCUUUUGAGUUUUGAAGCUGAGUCUUUGCCUGAUAAAGUGAAGAUGGGAUCUAUAAAUGAUCCUGUACGAGCGUAUGUGCCGAAUAUGUUGAUGUUACAGGUGUCAAGCUUAUGGGCAUGUGGCAGGAGGGAGGGUCCAAGGUGUGAGAAAUGUGCAUAAGGGCAUGAGACAAAGGAAUGUGUAGUAUUUGGGGAAUGUGUUAAUUGUAUGGGGUGCCCAUGGAGCUGGGGAUCAGAAAUGUUCCGUGCGAGAGAAGCAGGUUGAGGUUUCUAGAGUUAAGAGUAGAGCAGAAGUUGUCAUAUGCUGAGGCGUUGGAGAAAGUAGAGGAAGAUGGGAGAAGUGGUGAGAGUAGUAAAGAUAUACUAGUACAGAGGGAUAGGCCAAAAAGUGAAAAGUUUCAGUAAGAUUGGAUUUUUAGCAUUAACAGCAAUGGUUAUUAAUUGUACUGCAGGAAUAGAUCAGAAGUCUCAGAAAAUGUAGGUUGUGGUGGCAGCUGUAGAGAGGCAUUUGGUUGUGCAGGACUUGACUGCAGGAGAGUUACAGGAUGUGGUGAUUUCCCAUCCUUUUAGGGUGAUGGCAUGAGGUAGGAAUAAAUACAUUUAAUUAGUGGAGUAUGGGGGUGUUACAUUUUAUUUUAAAUAAUUUUGAAAUUAGUGAAUAGUGUUUAGGACAUUUUUCUACUUUAAGUAUAAGGUCUUGUAGGUCUGGCAGUAAUGGAACAAAUUGGAUGCAACCCUCGUUAACCUCAUAGAAGGAGAUGAAAACCUCCAAUCGUCAACAUGACUGGCUGCGUUUUGCUACAAUCAUUGUUUUAUGGGUCCUUGGAAAACUAAAUAGAGGCAGUGGGAGAACCUAUUAAAAUACAGAGAGCUGUCCAAGCCUGUCUGCAGAUGAAGAGGUCCCAGUGAAUGUCCCAAGAGAGUGGUGAAAUGUCUGGAAGCACGAGAUGGGAUCCUUAGCUUAAAACACACACAACUACUACUACCAAGUCCAAUGCCAGAUACUUUUCUC